UACAGUUUGGCUGCUUUUUCGCUUUGGGGGCUGGAGCCCCAGCUGCACACCCCACCCGGGGGCCUCGGUGGGCCAGUUGCCAUGGGCGGCUGUGAUGCACACGGUCUCCCUACACGUCCUGGCUCCGUGCUCGUUCCCCCAUGUUGACUCUGAGAAACAGGCAGGUGGGCAGCCGUGGAUCCAGAGCCUUGGAGUCAGUUCCUGGUGGAUGCCGUGUUCAAGUACACCCCCACGCCCUGCCAAGAGCUGUUUGGGAAUUCCAGAGGACCCUGGAUCACGGGAAGCAGCUCUGCUUGGAAACAGAAUUGUCCGCGGAGUGAUAGAAAUAGAACUGGCGCGCUGGAGGCGACGGCGGAUGCUCCGUUCCCUGGCCCAGCCUGAGGCUUUUUUCUGGAGGAGGCAGCACCGCUGUGAACAGUGAGGACUGGCGGGAAGGCCCGCUCAGGGCUCAGAAAUAAGAACAGACGCCUGUGCACUGACAGCUGUGUGAGCUGGGGCUCUCUGGAUGCAGAUUUCUGCGGGGGAGGUGGAAGCGAAUAAAAGACCCGGCACUCGGAACCAGCCGUCAGUUUCUGAACAUUGGAAACUUCCCACAAAAAUACAUCCUAACAGCAAAGAGGGGAAGAGUGACAUCGCAGCAGAGAAGCUGGACAGAAGCCCCGUUCGUCACAUGGCCACGGUGGACCUCACCGGUGACGGGACACACGGAAGUCACGCGCCACCAGGUGGGAUUCAGAGACACAGCAUCGCUCCUGUGCCAUUCCUGCCAAAGACCCAUGACCUGAAUCUAGUCCCGAGAGAUCAACAGAAAAACCCAAACUGAGGGACAUUCUACAAAAUGAUGGGACAGUCCCUUCAAAAGUAUCCAGGUCAUGAGAGUCAAAGAGAGAUUAAAGAGUGUCCCAGACUGAAGGAGACUCGGGAGACAGGACAACUACGUGAAGCAGGCGAUCCUGACCUGGGUCCUUUACUAUGAAAGACCCUGUUGGGAUAAACUGUGGACCCUGAAGGGGGUCUAAGGAUUAGGUGGUAGUGAUGGGUCAAGGUUAAUGUCCUGACCCGAAUAGUUUUCUUGUGAUUAUCUGGGAGCCUUCCUGUUUUAGGGAAAUAGCCUAUUCAGCAGUAAUGAGGCAGCAGGCUUGGCAGCUUUCUUUCAAAUGGCUCAGAGAAAAAAAAAAGUUCCUUGUAUUGGACUUGCAAGUUUUUUAUAGGAGUAACUGCCAAUU